rnacentral:rRNA from 1 species
GAUGAACGCUGGCGGCGUGCCUAAUACAUGCAAGUCGAGCGAACGGACGAGAAGCUUGCUUCUCUGAUGUUAGCGGCGGACGGGUGAGUAACACGUGGAUAACCUACCUAUAAGACUGGGAUAACUUCGGGAAACCGUAGCUAAUACCGGAUAAUAUUUUGAACCGCAUGGUUCAAAAGUGAAGGACGGUCUUGCUGUCACUUAUAGAUGGAUCCGCGCUGCAUUAGCUAGUUGGUAAGGUAACGGCUUACCAAGGCAACGAUGCAUAGCCGACCUGCGAGGGGGAUCGGCCACACUGGAACUGAGACGCGGUCCAGACUCCUACGGGAGGCAGCAGUAGGGAAUCUUCCGCAAUGGGCGAAAGCCUGACGGAGCAACGCCGCGUGAGUGAUGAAGGUCUUCGGAUCGUAAAACUCUGUUAUUAGGGAAGAACAUAUGUGUAAGUAACUGUGCACAGCUUGACGGUACCUAAUCAGAAAGCCACGGCUAACUACGUG